rnacentral:sRNA from 1 species
AUAUUGAAAAAAAAAACAAGAAAAAAACAACAUGUGAUAUCUUAUUAUAUAAAGUACACGGUUUUGAAAGUUACUAACUCACGAGAUCAUGACACGUGUCAAGUAUAUCAUUGACAUGUUGAUAUAUGUCAAAAAAAAGUUUCUUUAAAAAAAAGAAAUAAACAUAUUUACAUAUACUAAUUUAUAUUUCUAUAUCUAAAAAAUUUAACUUAUAAC